GAUGAACGCUGGCGGUGUGCCUAAUACAUGCAAGUCGAGCGAACAGACGAGGAGCUUACUCCUCUGACGUUAGCGGCGGACGGGUGAGUAACACGUGGAUAACCUACCUAUAAGACUGGGAUAACUUCGGGAAACCGGAGCUAAUACCGGAUAACAUGUUGAACCGCAUGGUUCAACAGUGAAAGACGGUCUUGCUGUCACUUAUAGAUGGAUCCGCGUCGCAUUAGCUAGUUGGUAAGGUAACGGCUUACCAAGGCAACGAUGCGUAGCCGACCUGAGAGGGUGAUCGGCCACACUGGAACUGAGACACGGUCCAGACUCCUACGGGAGGCAGCAGUAGGGAAUCUUCCGCAAUGGGCGAAAGCCUGACGGAGCAACGCCGCGUGAGUGAAGAAGGUCUUCGAAUCGUAAAACUCUGUUAUUAGGGAAGAACAAAUGUGUAAGUAACUAUGCACGUCUUGACGGUACCUAAUCAGAAAGCCACGGCUAACUACGUG
rnacentral:rRNA from 1 species